AAAAAUGGACAAAACGACAACCAGGAUAAAAAGUAGAGAAAAAAAAAGAAUAGAAAUAAUAGGAAAAAUGAAAGAACAAAGAAAAUCAAAUUACCAAGAAGGGAAAAAUUGAUGGUGGUGUGCUUUGGGGAAAAACAAAGAAAAUAAGCAUGUGAAAAUGACUUGCUGAAUUUUUUUAAAAAAAAUAGCCACCCACGAC
rnacentral:lncRNA from 1 species